rnacentral:lncRNA from 1 species
UCACAAAAGAGAAGGGUACUGCCCUUUUAUAACACAUGAAAACAGCCCCAUUACACAAUAGUUGCCUAGUUUUUAGGCUUGCACUUUCCCACUACUUUAUCCUAAGUGUAGUUGACACCCCAACUACUAGGAACAUGUUUAGAUCAUGGGAUCAUGGCCUCAAUUCAUGCUAACUCCUGCCAUCAUGAUAGACAAAGCUCAA